rnacentral:misc_RNA from 1 species
AAAAAAGGGAAGAAGAAGAAGAAGCUAGAAACACAAAAAUAGAGCUAAUAUUUACAAUAUGACCUAAAGACUAUCAAUUAAAUAUGACAUUAGUUGUCAACCUCAACUACUUGAGUACGCACUUUGAUAUCACCAAGCAAUUGAUAAUUCCAAAUUUAACUUGAAAGCAAAAAAUCCAACUUACAUUGAAUGGUAGAUAAAAGAGCAAUAUUUACAUAGGCUUUUCCCCCUUAAGUGUAAUACUAUGUAUAAACUUCAUAAAAAUAUAACUUAUGCAUAUCAGCUGCAUAAAACUAUAUGCUGAGAGCUGAGUUCACAAAAUAAACUUCUGGACAUCAAAUGAGAAAUCAAACAACUAAAAUCCCAAGCAUACCCUUAAGCUAAGAGAUUCAUAAGAAGGAAAGACUCACAAUACAUAAAAAAGAAUACCAUAUUAUGAUGCCAACACUUCUUUCAUCUAUUGGAAUGUGGGAUCAAUUCAACAUAAACAUAUAAACCAUAAAAAUAGAUGGAAUGCUAAGGAACAAUGGCCAACAUGCUAAAGCCUUGAUUCAAGAAGACAACAUCAUGCAGAGACAAAUAAAACCCAAGGACUGGCUGGAAAGUAUCUUUAAAAGCAUCACCACAGAAUUGGGAAAGAAUGCAAGCCUAGAGAUGGAUGGAAACCAAAAGGAAUAAGGAAGAAUGAAAUAAGGACCCAACAAUUAGAGAACACAAACCU